rfam:Gossypium arboreum cultivar AKA8401 contig_31033_5, whole genome shotgun sequence.
AGGGGUAGCCUUUAUAUAAAUAGAACUAACGCACCAGAUCCCAUCAGAACUCCGCAGAGAAGCGUGCGUGGGCAAGAGUAGUACUAGGAUGGUGACCUCCUAGGAAGUCCUCGUGUUGCACCUC